UAUGUUUAGGGUUAGGUUUAGGUUAUGUUUAGGGUUAGGUUUUAGGUUUAGGUUAUGUUUAGGGCUAGGUUUAGAUUUAGGUUAUGUUUAGGGUUAGGUUUAGGGUUAGGUUAAGAUUUAGGUUAUGUUUAGGGCUAGGUUUAAAUUUAGGUUAUGUUUAGGGUUAGGUUUAGGUUAUGUUUAGGGUUAGGUUUUAGGUUUAGGUUAUGUUUAGGGCUAGGUUUAGAUUUAGGUUAUGUUUAGGGUUAGGUUUAGGUUAUGUUUAGGGUUAGGUUUUAGGUUUAGGUUAUGUUUAGGGCUAGGUUAAGAUUUAGGUUAUGUUUAGGGCUAGGGUUAGAUUUAGGUUAUGUUUAGGGUUAGGUUUUAGGUUUAGGUUAUG